rnacentral:lncRNA from 1 species
GAAGCUUGGGAACCUACUUUAGGAAUGAGACAAAAAUAGACUCUAAGUAAAAUUCUAGUUAAGUAGGAAAAGUCGACGAAGUAAGGAAUUAGUGAAGAUUUAGGAUACUCAAAAAAUGUAUUAUAAAUAGAGAGCUCUAGAAGUAUAGAGGACAAGCCAAAAAAAAAAAAUUAAAUCAAAAGGCGAGUAGCAAGAAAGAAAAACUCGACGAUAAUCAUGAUUCAAUAGUGAAAUUUGCUCUCUUAACUCUUGAGAACAUAAGCCAAGCGCUGAAUUACAUAAAUCCUUAGUGUUUUGCUCUUUAUAUUGUCCCAUUUAUUCAAUUUUUUCGGUUGACCAAAAAUUAGCGUCAACAAUAUUAAUUAUAGAUAAUCUCAGGUAUUAUUUCAGCAAUAGUUUCCUAAUCAUUAAUCUGCAUCGUAUAAUGAAAAAAAAAAAAUUCUUUUUUGGAAUAAGAAGUUAUUGCAUUUGAAGUUUAUUGAUGAAAUUUCUAUUGAUCUCGAACUUCAUCCUUAAAUUUGGGGGGGGGGGGGGGGGAUUUGAAAAUUUAUUAAGAAAACUGAUUAAAAAAAGAAUACUACAAUCUUUAGGAACAAGAAUAAUAAUACUGAACACAUUCGUCUGAUAUAUUAGAUGGUAUGAAAGUUAAAUAACUAAAGUUUUUAAAUAACAAGAAUUUACCAUAAAAAAGUCUAAUAUUAGAUAAUGCAUAACCAGAUAUGGUUUCAACAAAAAAUGAUUGAGUUGGUGCAACAUGAGAGUCUAAACGCAUACAUGUCGAGCUAACCGGGAAUGCGGACCCAAUAAAAACAGGAAAAAAAAUAAAAAAUCGAUAUUAUGUAUAAACAUUAAAUUGAGAUAUAUUUUAAUAAUUAAUAAAAAAUAGUAAUAAACUAAUGGGCCAUGUUGACUGUUCUUUUAGAAAUUGGGCAAAAUCAGGCCCAGUCGAAAUGGGCCCAAAUUGCAGCCCUGCAACUGACAAAGUAAAAUUAGUAAAGAACCAAAACGGAAAGGAGGAAGACACGGAGACAGACACAGAUUGGAUUAGACCUACCUGCAGUGACAGUGAGUGAGAAUGAGAAUUCCAAACCCUAGAAGAGGUUCCUUCUCAAACACACAACAAAACCCAGAUAAUCCAUUCAAUGUUCAAAAUUUGUCUACAGUUUCAAUUCUUUUGAACUUUUUGAAGAGACCCCAAGCGUUCCCCUUUUUGCUCUCAAUCUUUGUUUUGUUGACAUGGCUCUCUCUCAGAUUACAACACUCUUCUUCCCAUUUUGAAUUGAACAAAAAUAACCAUGAGAAAUGGAGCAGCACCAAGGAUGAUGAUGUGAAGGCUAAUUUAGUCAGAUUUAAAUCUGACCAUCUACCUUCUUUGAUUCUCAAAGACAGGCGCGGUUGGUUACUGAAUCCUAUCUCUCUGGCCAUUGAUGCUGGCGUUAAAGGUAUUAUCCUGUUUUUAUUCAUUGUAGUUAUUAUCUAUCCGGGAUUUUUCUCUGUUAAUGCAGUGAUUGAUGGAUUUGCUAAUUUUGGAGUAAAAUGGAAGUUUGAGCUAGAUUUGUAAUGUAAUGAGCUUGCAUUGUUUUGUUUCCUUUUAGGGGGAGCGGUGUCUUGCGUUUCUUUACAUGUUGGCGAAAUUCAACCGGGUGCGUUGAGGGGGAAUCACAGGCAUUAUACUCUAAAUGAGACGUUUGUUAUUUGGGGAGCUAAAACAAAAUUCAGGGUAUGCUUCUCUUUGUUAGAGGGGUAAACAUUUCUAUUUGAAUAAGGAUUUCUAGAAAAAUGUUUAGUGUCUACCAAAUGCUUUUAGCACCCUAAAAAAUAUGCUGAAGCACAACAGUUAUAAACAGGCUGUAAAGUUGUAUAAAGUGUUUGUUUAUUGAAUUUUGAAGUCAAUAUUGGGUGAUAUUAUUCUUCACUGACUUAUUUACAAUUUCUUUAUAUCCCAUCAUUAUGGUGAUUGACUUGACUUUACCAUCUGAGUUGCUAUGGUUCAUCAACCACUCAAUAAUUUCAAGUUAAUUGCUAUAUCAUUGGGAUACAGAAGUUGUAAUAAGUUGAAACACUAGUGAAUAUCUGAUCUUAACAUGGUAUUUCAAUGAAACCAAAUCCCUUUUAAAUAAAUACAGUUUGCUGGUCUUACAAGUUAACUUUUUGGUGAUAUUGAGGUUCGGGGGAUGUUAUGUAACAUGUUAAUGCACGUAAACAUUUUAAAAAUAUCUGUUGGAAGUUUUUUCUAUGAACCUUUUUCCAAUAUUUAAGUUCACUUUAUACUUGUUACUCCUGGGAUGAACAGCUUUAGUAUCAAUUGCUUUUCUUUCACCAAAGAAAGAAAGAGAACUCAGUGCCUCUGCAAGACUAAAAUUCAAAUUUUUGUGAUGGUUUGCUGUUGUAUCUUAAUUGGCAAUCUUUCAUUUGUGCAUCUCUGAACAUGCUUGCCACAUGAGUUUACAGUUUUAUCUGGUGGAGUAACAUGACCUGAAAUUGGAAAACAGAUGCGGGUCUUCUGUAAUUUUCUUAUAACGACAGGCUUUAUUUAUCUUUUAUGUUUUGUUUGGUUCUUUUUCACCCAAAUAAUACUAGGAGAAAAUGAAACUUUCUGGUAAAAAUUAGCAUAUAAAUGUAUGAAUUUAGGUGUUUCACAUAAAAAUGAUAUUAUAUUAUAUUAUGAUAUAUGUCCUAGUUUCAUAUUUUUCUCACGGUUCUGCAGCUGGAGAAUAAUCAGAUAGAUGAUAAAGGUUAUGCUGAAGUGAUAGUUGGUGCAGAUGAGGUUGCUAUUGCAGCUAGCCCACAGGGAACAGCCCAUGCUUUAGUGAAUGCUGAUUUGAUUCAUAGUACAUUCUUUAUUGGGUGCCAAGACGGUGUGAUAAACAAUAACGCCUCAACUUCUGAUUUUAAUGUUUGGAAAGAUCUCUAAUUGUUGCUUUUUGUCAUUAAUACCUGUCUCUUCCCUAGUUCAUGAUUUGUAAAUAAUAUGUUAAGUUAAUUUGUUCAGUAUGAAACCACAAUCUAGGCUAUUUUGAGAUGAAGAUAAUAUGAUGAGGUGAGUUAAUGUAGCAUAUAUGGACACAAGUUACUGUUGUUGUUGCCCAAAAUAAUUCUUUUAGUUGCCAUCAUUUUUGCACAGCACUUGCCGACUUGAUCCGUUACUGGCUGAGUCUUGAUCCCCUUGGCGCUCGAGUCUUUUCAAUGUUUCAGGCAUUUCAGUUAUGCACUGCUCGUGCUGUGCAUCCGUGGUUAAAAGCGAAAUCUCAUUGCUCAUGUGGAUAAUCUUUGACGACAGUUUCUUGGAAGCGAUACAGCAAGCUUCCUAGAUCGUACACGCAAUGUUGUUGUUAUAGGGCCCUGGAAAGUUGGAACUAUAGCUCAUUUUCUUCCUUUGUUAUUUAGUUUAUAGUAUUAUACUAUAUGGCUAGCUUGUGCGUAGAAGUAUUGAAUUUCUUUGAACCAUACGAAAGCAGAGUUUCCCACAAACAAUCUUGUUAAUAUAUAAAAAGAAACCUAAAAACAGUUGGGUUAUAUAACUUUGAAUUCGUAAAUUACAUUAAUUAAACAUUGUCUCAAAAAAAUAAAAUAGAAUAAAAAUAUGCAACCUUCGAUUCCGAAGCUUAAAAGCCAAUUAACGUAAUACAGAGGAUUGCUUGACCCAACAUGCAAGUGAAAUAAGGCAGGCACCUGAUUUCAGCGACUAUAAACUCUACAUGAAACCAAGCAAUGAGAGAUAUCCCACUUUGUAAAUUAAGAGGUAACAAAUUGUGUUCGUAUUAACUUGCAAACAAUGGAGACCAAGGGAAGCAAGAGAAUCGCUGUUCUAGUUGGAUGCAAUUACCCCAACACCAAGAAUGAGUUGCAUGGGUGCAUAAACGACGUGCUGGCGAUGAGGGAUGUGAUAAUCAACAGGUUCGGCUUUGAUCCGAACCAUAUCGAGCUUUUGACCGAUGCGCCGGGGUCGUCAGUGAUGCCUACGGGGGCUAAUAUUAAGGCAGCUCUUGAUCGGAUGGUGAGUAAGGCCGAAGCAGGUGAUGUGCUGUUAUUCCAUUAUAGUGGACAUGGUACAAGGAUUCCUUCUUUGAGGCCUAUUUGGCCUUUUAGGCAGCAGGAUGAAGCUAUUGUGCCUUGUGAUUUCAAUCUCAUCACUGGUAUGUCUUUAUAUGUACGUGUUUCUUCAUAUGUUCAAAAAUUUAUCACAUAUAGAUUUUUUUUUUUUAAAUUUUUUUGACGGAGCUAGGUUUUGGGGAGUACUGGAUAAUAACCAAAAACAUAUGUUCAAAAAUUUAUCACAUAUAGAUUUUUUUUUUUUAAAUUUUUUUGACGGAGCUAGGUUUUGGGGAGUACUGGAUAAUAACCAAAAAAAUAAUAAUAAUAACCAAUGCUCAUGCAUGUAUGUACACUGUGUUAUGCAGAUUUGGACUUCAGGCAACUAGUGAAUCGGCUGCCAAAGGGGGCGAGCUUCACAGUCUUUUCGGAUUCGUGCCACAGCGGGGGUCUUAUUGACAAGGCAAAGGAGCAAAUUGGACCUUCUUCUAAUAUUGAUCAGCUGAGAACCAAACAAUCACCGGCCUUUAGGCCCAAGACAAUUCCUUUCCAAUCAAUACUCGAACAUCUCUCAUCUGUGACAAAAAUAAACACAUCUGACAUUGGCACCCACUUGUUAGAAUUCUUUGGAGUUGAUGCCAGCCUCCGAUUUCGGCUGGCACCAAAUGAAGUGAUGGACUUAUUUGAGUCGUGGUCGUUGAAGCCAGAUGAUGGAAUUCUACUAAGUGGGUGCCAAGCUAAUGAAACUUCUGCUGACAUGAGCCCCAUGGAGAGCGGGGGCAAGGCGUAUGGGGCAUUUAGCAAUGCGGUGCAAAGAGUGCUGAAGGAGAAUUCUGGUCCAUUGAGCAAUAAAGAAGUUGUGUUAAUGGCUAGGAAGAUUUUGAAAGAGCAGCGAUUUGAGCAACAUCCUUGUUUGUAUUGCAGUGAUGAGAAUGCCGCGGCUACUUUCUUGUUGCAGCCGGCUGAAAGCUGAUCACAUCCGGACUGAGAUGCUAUUGAGUGUUGUGUUUACUGUUUUACUGCUCUACCAGCGAAACAGAUAAAAUUUGUUGUAUAUUUUCUAUAUGUAAUAAAAGGGAAAACUAAGUGGUGUGCUAUAAUAAUGUGCGAAAGAUAAUUCUUCAGCAAAUGGCUAUGAGAAAAAACCGACCUACCAAAGUCAAACUACAAGUGCUUAUCAAAUAUUUUGAUAUGAUAGAUAGCUCGAAAGCUAAGACAAACGGAGCUAAAAUCAUUUUUCCAAGCUCUUUGACUCUUGCUCUUUUAUCUUCUCUUCAAUCAUUAGCCUGCCAUCAGCAGGGGCGGAACUAGGGGAAAAAUUCUACAGAAAUGUUAAUUUUUAUGUUAUUAUAUAUGUAAAAUUAUAAUUAUACAGGGGCCACUAUAGAUAUUUUACACUAAUUUUUCACAUUUUCUUUAAAAAUUCUAAAAUUUUUUAAAAUUCUACAGGGCCAUGGCACCCUCUAGCCUCAUACUAGCUCCGCCCCUGGCCAUCAGCAGCCAUAGCUUUACAUCAUCCUUCUUCACCAAUACGCCGACAUUCUCUAAAAGCGGCCAUGUAAUCAUGGCCACUCCAGCGCUGAGGAUGUGAUGGUAUUAGUUACUAAUUGCGGAGCACAACCGCGAAUCAAAAGACCUCUUCUUUCUUCAUGCUCUAAGAAAAUCCAUUUCUCUAGCGUUUCUAGUCUAUUUUCUCCUUCUCUUACAACCCAGUAGGUCUUUCAAUCCAUUUCAACGUAGGAAUUACAUUAUAUAGGCCUCCAAGAUAAGCAUAAAUUACAGAGCUUGUCUCUCCUGUGAAACAAACCAUUUCAAGCAUUCAUAUCCAUCAAUUGAUGACUUGAUGGAAAAGUUUUUCUGUAAAGGUUUUAGUUAUUAUCGAAGGAUUAAUUUAAGUAAAUGAAAUUAUUUGUAAGUGUAAUUAAAGAGGAAAAAUAACUAAAACUCCUCUUGUUCGACAAAGAAAAAUUAACAUGUUUAUUUUAAAAUAAAAAAGGUAGAGCGGUGGGCAAAUUCCACCUUUUUGAAGUAAAAUGAAAUGAGUGAAUUUUAUGCUAAUUUUGAUGGAAUAUUAUUAUGGUUAUGAGAAUUAUUGUUUGAUUUAAAACAUGAUCUAUUUAACCAAAUUUGGUUGGUGUGAGUGUUUCAAUACUUUCACUUCUUAAGAGAGGUCAGGGGUUCAAAUCUCGUUUUCGUAUGAAGUCACCACUUUGACCAGCACUUUACCCCUUACUGACCGACCUGGUGCAAGCGGGGAUUAAUCUGAAUUGUGAUACGGGAUUAAAGGUGCCUCUUAUAAUUGAGAUCCGCUCAGGACCACCUCGUGGUUCAGAUAAUAAAUAAAUAAAUAAAUAAAACAUGAUCUAUUUAAAAUGGUUAAUUUUGUUAAACAAAAAGGUUGGGGGAACGUCCAAGGAUCCAAUUCGCCUUUGGAGUAGCAGUGAGCAAUUAAGGGCCCCGUUGGGAGAGUUGGGCUGCCACAGCCCACUUCCACUCUCUCCCUCAACUCAAAUCUAUUUAAAAUGCGUUUGAAAAUUGCGAUUGUGCUAGCCUACCUUGUUUGGGAAAAAUCUCAAAUUGCCCCCAAGUUAUAUAUACAUAUAUAGCGCUUCUCUAUUGAAGAGUAUAAAAACAAAGAUUUUGUGUGUUAGUGAAAACUGUAUUUUUUUUAUUUAUUAGUGUAUUAAAAUAUGUGUUUUUUAUUUUUUAUUAGCAUCCUCAUUUUAUUAGAGAAUAUAUAUAAGAAAAUUCUUUUGAAACAUUCUUUAGUUUCCUGUUCAUUUUCUUUUAUUCCUAAGAAAAUAAUUAACAGAAAUAGUGCAGAGGAUUCUAGAUCCUUCAAUGAUGUAAAUGAUAAGAUUGCUAGAAUGUAACGUGUCUUGAGUUCCAUCCAACAAGAUGUAACAAUGUCUUAUAUACAUGUACAAACUGUAGAGCAAGUUGACGAUCGAGAACAAGAGAAUUGAUUAAUUAAGACAGUUUAAUUUGGAAAUGAAGAAAAUUAGACAAAAGCGAUAGCUAGUAAGCCAAGUGAUGUGCUAGAGCAAUAACACUUGGUGAUGAAAUUGUCUCUUCUGACUUGUCUAUCAGGAUUACGUAGUGUGUUGAAACCAGGAACUGUAUAUAAGAUAUUAUCUGAAGAGCCAAUUACCUGCAUAUAUACAUAAUAGGAUUAGGGGCAAAAGGAUGUAACGUUUCUUAAUUCUUUUUUUUUUUUCACACGCUUUUGUUUGCUAGAGCAGAAGAUCAUCAUAUUCCUACAUAUUUUAUUUAUUUGGUGGUGGAAUGAACUUUUUGAAGGGGCAGUGACAUGAGCUCCUUAAAGCGAAGGUAGUGCCCUGAAAAGCUGAGGUAUAUGCAGUUUUGCACCAUGCAUGCUCGAUCAUGAGAUCGAUACAGUUGCAUCAGCUCAGUCAUAUUGACAUUGCACGAGUAUUGACUAAUGCACAGUUUGGUAUCCCAAGAAAAAAAAGAUUAAUACGCACUAAAAAUCUUGUGGAUAACGGACAUGCACAAUUGCAUCACCUGCUGAGUUAUCUUUUCAAGAAUAUUAUUGGUCCCAACAAGAUUGGCCACCUCAGCAUCUUGAAUAUAUGAAGAGCACAUGUAUUGUUUAAAGUCGAGCAAAUAUUUUUACAGAUAGCAGCUACAGCUGCUUCAAAUUUAAAGCUAUAGCUGUCUUACUUUGUAUGAACAAUGAAGCAUGCAGCCCAAAGUUGGAGCUCACCACAGUAAAUUACAGUGGCAUCUAAUGAUAAUAAAGGUACGUACACACGGAAUAAUGUUUUUUGGUACUGAGGCAGGGCCCGGCCCCCUCUAGAGCCAUGGCUAGCUUUGCCUCUGCCUAGCUAUUUGCUGGAGCUUCGGUAGCCGAACAAAUGCAGAUAGAGUGGGGGAAAAUUUCUACCACAUAUGGAUUGUUGAUUAAUACAUGGUAUGGAUCCACAUACGCACCGAAACCCUCUUUUCUAUUUUUAUUAUUUAGCUUAAUGAUAUAAUCUGAGUUCCUCUCCAGUCUCCACCACCCAUGUGAGUAGGAUUUAAAUCUGUUAUAUUCAACAUAAUAACUUUUAAAAUCUCAAGGAGAUGGCACCCCACCAACAAUCCUCUCUUUAAUUAUAUAUAGUACAAGUUAGAAUCAAUUAUGAAAGAUUUUCAAGUAUUGGAUAUGAAACAAUAUUAUCUUGACAGGGAGCGAAUAAAUCACCGUGAGGCUUGAAUUGAACAAAAAUUUAGUAAAGAGAAAUGUUCUAAUUUUAAAUUUAGCUCACGUUUAUGUAAUUUUGUAUUUGAACCCCCUCAAAAUCAUAAUUAUUGCGUUAUGACCUACCAAUUUUACAAUUUAUCCAUAGUAACUCCAUCGUGGAACCAAAAUCCUAAAUAAAACAUUUAAGCGGGAAGGAAGGAAACAGUUAUAUAAUAAGAUCACUGAGAUCUCGUGCCAUCUUUUAUUAUCAAAAACAAAAAUACUCAAAUUUGAUAAUUGAUUAAAGCCCCCUCACUGUCCAUCCAAUCCAACGACCCACCCCCAUGUCAAUGUAAAAAGCAUCCGUUGCAAAAACAAAACUCACGUGCAUAGUGCGUUGCUGAUGCUUUAAGUUUUUUUUUUUUUUUAAAUCACCCGAUUUCCGGUGACCGCAUUGGACCCCGACUAAUUCAAAUUCAAGAUGUAGUCACAGUUAAACCUUUUUACCCCUCCCAAAUAGUGUGCUUUAAGUUUUUUAAAACGUCUCUCUCUUUUUUUUUUGGCUCAAAUGUUUUCCUUUACUUGUGUCUGUCUUUGAGACAGUACAACACACAAGUAGUCCUAGUCCUAAUCCUAGUCCUAGACACCGCAUUGUCUCUUUCUGCUUUCGAUUUUACUGCCGUUUUACCUCACUCACUCUUCCCCAGCCCAUUCACAUUCCCCAAAUAUUCUCCGCGCACACACUCCGUAAACUAAGAUUAAGAUGAAGAAACAAGAUGGAUCAUCACUUCGAUCAUCAUCUUACCGCCAAGAAAAUUCUCCAAAAAACCUCCAAGCCAAGAGCAUCGGUUGCAUGUCCGGCAUUUUCCACCUAAUUUACAGACACAACAAUCGCCGUGGCAAAUUCAUCACUUCCGGUCAGUUUCUUUCUGUGUCUCAUGCACGUCAUUUCUCCCCAAAUUAAUUCAUUUGUAGUCAUUAAUUAAUGUUGCUCAUGAUGCGUUAAUAAUUAGGGAAAAAGCAGGAAAAGAACACGGUAUCUCCGUCAUCAAAGCAGCGGCAAGAAAGCGAUAAUGAUGAUCAUGAAUUCGUCAACAAUAAUAAUAACAACAACAACGACGGCAACAACUUCAUCACGAGACUCACGUCGUGCGAUGUGCAGAGAAGUCCGACGCUGCCGGCGGAGAUCCGUCUCCGGGGGAACAACGUGAAGACGGUGGAGAUUUGUUUGGAGGAGGCCGCGGAGAAGAGGAGGAAGUUGAUUGAAGAGUUGGAGAAAUGCGAUGAGGACUUGAAAGAGCUCAAGAAAAUUAUUGAUGUCGUCAGGAGUAACAGCGUUACCGUUACCGUUGAUCGCGAAGACAAUGAUAAUAAUAAUAAUAAGAUCAACGGUGAUCUGCAACCGAGUCCAGUGUCCGUGCUUGAUGAUUUCACUCCUUUGUCGUCGACUCUCAGCAGCAGCAGCUACCCCAGACGUUACGCAAAUGGUGAGUUUCAGACUUUCACUUGAACUCUUUUUGUUUUAUUAUAAAAUUUAUUAAUUUUCUUUGUCUUUUGUUUUGUUUUAUCUAUUGCAUGCAUGAAAAUGAAAGUAUGUUUUUUUUUUAGUCUUUAUAUGUUAGUACCAACUAUAAAAUAACACAAACUAACAUUUAAGAAAUUAAAAGAGAAUACCAAUGUGGUAUAUUUUGAAUAUUAUACAACUUAAAUAGAAUAGUAUUAUAUAUAUUGUCACAUAUUUAUCUAAUUACAGUAGUUUUUCAUUUUUACGUUAUUCUUAUGAUUAUUGUUUUCAGUCAAUUCACUUGCUCACGUAGAAUGAAGGUGGUUUAGAGAUUUUAUAAAUUUUAUAAACACUUUGUUUCGGGAAUUUAGGGAUUUCAUGCCCUUUAAGAAGAAGAGACUCAAUGCUUUUCCACGUAAACCGGCAGCAACACAUGCCAAAGGUUUAGGAUUCCAAGUUUGUAAAUGAUUUCACCUUGUGUGCAGAUCAUUAUGACAAAUUGUGUAGUGGGAGACAAAAAAUAAUGGCAAUUACCCAAUUCAUAAAAUGUUAAUCAUGAGUGACAGCUGUUUCAAUUAGUUAACAACUCUUCUCUUUUGUUUUACAUACUCAAGAAAAUUAAUGUCUUAAUAAUAAAUAUUAACAUCCUUGAAUUCAUGCAUAGUUUCUUGAGGAUCCAAUUAAAAAUCAAAGUCGAGGACAAAUUAGAUUGAAAAGUACCUAUAUAGAUGAAAACUUAGGCUCUACUUCAUUAGUGUGGCCCAUAUAAGCAAUUCUUUGCAAGCAAACUCUUCAAUGAUGCAGUCAAAGAUGACAUUAAGAAAAAGAAAAAAGGAGACAAACAGAAAGAAAAGAAGCACCAACUUUAGGUUUAGGUCCCCCAGACGAGAGCAAUCGAAUAGGUCCAACAACAACGCACUUGAACAAGUGUCGUCGCUACUACUUACUACAGAUGACACAAAAGUGAUUUUCUGAUGAAAAUGUUUUACCCAUUCAUCCAAACAAAAAUAAUUUUCCAGCUUCAUAUUUGCUUUCCCCUUUUCCUUUUCAUUUUGACUUUAAUUAGUAUGAAUGAUCGAUACUUAUCUCAUUAGCAUGAUUGUUUGUGAUGAUGUGACUGGUUCAUGGAAUAAUUAAAAAUCAAAUCAUAUUGGAUAGAUCUACAAUUAAAUAUGUGGAAAAAAGAAAAACCUCAAGUUUUUAAAUGUUUUUUUCUUAGUCUCUCAAAUUUUCGUUGCCAAUAUUCCUAAACUUAUUAUAUCAUUUGACACCUCAAGUUUCCAUUAUGCUCCAAAUUUUUAUUGCCGACACUCCAAAUUUUACCUUUUACACAUAAUAAACUACGAGGGAAAAAAGUCACAGAGACACAAUAUUAGAGCUAAAAUCUAAAAAGAGUAUUUAAAAUAUAUUUAAUAAUAAAAACUGCGUUAUAGUAAUUGUAUUCAUUCUCAAUGCAAAGAGUACAUUAUGUUAACUAACUUGUUUAUAUUGUACACUGUGUUGCAGGACGAGCAGCGGCAAUACACCAACAGAAGCAGAAACAAAAGAGAAAACCAGGAGAGGAGGACACUGCUGUGAGCAACAUAUGUUUGGUGGAAAAGAUGAGAAGUGAAACGGCAGUAAAGAGCUGCAGCGAGAACGUGGCAGGAGUACAAGUAAUAUCGCCCGUGUGGGGAAGCAAGGCCAUGAUAGAUAGUUUAAACGAAGUGUGUAGAGAUAUCGCAUGGGGUGAGAGAAGAGAGGUUGGGAGAAUUGGAUUGGCUUUACAAGAUUAUAUCUGCAGUGAUUUGAUUGAGGAGUUCGUUAAGGACCUACUUGGAUCCUUUUGCAUGUUUAAGUAUUCAUUUCCAUUUGAAGCGUGCAGGAGAAGUCUCCGUUUUUAGUCAUUUAACUAUUAACGAAUGUGCGUGUCACCUAUGUUAAUUACACAGGAGGAACCAUCCGCCUUCAUUUUUCUUUUUACAUUUUCUUUUUUUAAAUUUCCAACCUUCCAUUUGAAGUUAAAAUGAAAUAGUUCUGAUAUGAGUUGGCGGAAGGAGAGGCAAGAAUUAACCAUAGAGAGGAGGUUCUUGAUCUUGAGUUGCAGAGUUAUUUUGCAUAUUCACUUAGUAGAAGGUAAGAGACAUAAACAUAUUGGAAAUCUGUAGUUUACUCUUAUAUAUUAAAAUAAUAUAGAAAUUCUAAUACUGGGGCUAAACUAUGUUAUAUAUAAUGUACAUAUUCAUAAGUUGUCAUCUAUCCUAAUUCAAUUAUUUCACAUGCUACAUUUUUUUUUUUUUUUUUUUUUUUUUACUUUUAGGCGACAACUUAAGGGUUAUUGUAUGCUCCAUAUGAUCCUAGUAUUGGCAAUAUUAAUUGAAAGGAUUAUGUUAACAUGUGAUGCAAGAACACGCCUAAAGAAAUUAAAAAUUACGUAAAAAAUUAUCUUUAUUUGAAAAAUAUCAAUGGUAUUUACUUUUAAAAUAAUUUUUCUCUUAGCCAACGGACUCAUACCUCAUUGACAACUCAUGCACCCAAUAACCUUGGGCGUAUGACCCUUCUAAUAGAGAUUUGUUUGACUCUUUGUUUUGAUAAUAGAAUAGAUUUUUCUCCAAUAUUAAGUGAUGCUUGUUGUUCGGACUGUAUCAUACUAAAAUUAUGAAGGAGAGUCCUGAUUACUAUCUAAUUAUAAAUAUCAAUAGAGUUUUGAUUUAAUACAUCAAUAUUUCAAAAAACAAAAUUAAUUUUCCUCUCAGAUGUUGCUUUUGAAUUGGGCUUUAAAUCUGAUCAUAUGAAAGCCCAAUUCGAGUCAUAACGAUAAGAUUUCAAUGUUUCAAUGUAUGCUUAGCCAUAACAAGGGACGGUUGUUUCGAUAAGGUCGCCUGGGAAUAGUGCGAGAGCGACGGACCCAUGACGUGGCAGUCAACGUGAGAUUCUGAUCUCACUCACCGCGUAGAAACCGCGUAAACGCGUUCUCCUGAUUUUUAUUAUAUUCCAUUUAUUUGUUUUUCUUUUUUCCCUCGAUACUUUUACGACAGACUCUUUCAAAAGAUAAUAAAGGCAAAAAGAAAAAGAAUAUAAGAUCAAAGAGAAUUACUAUCCACCGAUUAUUAAAAAAAUCAAAAUUUCAAGAGGGAAAAAAAAAAAAAAAAAAAAGGCUCAGAGAGAUAUUCAUAACAAAUCAAACAACUACGCGUAAAGUAAAUAAAUCUCCGCAGAAUUCAACACGGUAUACAGCUAAGGUACAUAAGCCGUUAUAGAGCCGAUGAUAAUGGUCCUGCCACGUUGUAGAAUCUUUCUUCUUCUGUCACGUGUAAUCAUGAAUGAUGAUCUUUUCGAAAAACGUCACCUGCUAACUAUGUUCCCUCGGGCAGUUUAGCCAAGCUCUUUCUUUUUCUAUUCUAUGCUUCCACAUGUGUGCUUACCGUUAUACCCCUAAGAAGUGAGACUUCUUGUGGGUGUGCGUGUGUGCAUGUCUCUAAUCUGGAGGAAUUUUAAAUUUUUUGAUGACUUAAAUACCCUUUUAGACAGUCUCUGGCAGCUUUAUUAAUUAGACCAAAAAAAUUAGAAAUAAGUAUUGUAAUCUCGAAAUACAUGGGUAAUAUUUUUCUUUUAGCUUUUACUUCGUUUUAUUUAAUGGUGCAAUUAAUAUACAAUUUUGAAACUUAUAUUCUAUAGUUAUAUUCAUCAGCACUGGUAACAAACUAAUAUAAAAAAUCAUAAAGAAUAAUACAAAGUAAAAAUUCUUUAUAAUCUUUAAAACAAAUUCAUUAUAAAAAUUUUAUGUAAAAUUUGAUGUGACAUAAUCACAAAAACAUAUUCCUUUAUUAAAAAUUUAAUUAUUUAAAAUAAUUAUGUGAACUAUGUGAUAAUUUUAUGCAAAUAAUACGUUCAAUUGACAUAGUUUUUAUGUAAUAGUGAUUAAAAAAUUUCACACCUAUAACAUUAAUUAUAGUUAUUAUGAAAAUGUUGAUUGAUUCAACUAAUAAAAUUUUUUGUGGUGUUAUAAAAAUUUCAAAAAUUAAAUUGGUUCCACCUAGAUUAAAAAAAAGAGUAAAUAACAUCUUAAUCAUUUAAACAAAGAGUAAUGAUACAACCACAAACUCUUGUACAAAUUUAUUUUGUACAAAUUGAUGUGGCAUGAUAAGAUUGGUUGAAUUAAAUAUCACUUGACCCACAUAAUUUGUUUUUAUUAAUUUAUAUUUUCAUUCAACCAAUCUUAUCGUGCCACGUCAGUUUGUACAAAAUAAGUUUGUACAAUAGUUUGUGGCUGUAUCGUUACUCUUAAACAAAAGUUAUAAAAACUUAACAAAAUUCAUGUGAGAGGGCAUUACGGUCAUGAUAACUAUUAUUUUAAUAUAUAUUUUAAUGAUUUCUUUGAAUAUUUCAUGCUAUUAUUAAAAUGUAUGGAGUUAAUCGAGUGAGCGAUGUAGCGAAAUAAAAGAAAAUAUCCAAAUGGUAAAAUGGGAAAUUAAAAGUUAGGCAGAUUUGAUAAUUCAGUUACGUCCGGACGGAAGUAAAAUGAUGUUGGAUCGUAUAAAUGCGACCAUCGUUUUCUCUCUCUCUCAAGUUGUGGGUAGCUCUUGGAUUUUUGUAAGGAAAAAAAUAAAUAAAUACCUAUUUCUGAGUUGAAAAAACAAACGGAAGAAGAAAAAUGGCGGAUCAGCUCACGGACGAUCAGAUCUCUGAGUUCAAAGAGGCCUUCAGCUUGUUUGACAAGGAUGGCGACGGUCCGAUUUUUCUCUCUAUAUAUGAUUUAUUUAGCUAUUAAUUUCCAUAUAGAUCUAGUAUAAGAUUCUUGAAUAUUUGCUUGAUUAUUGUUUUGAUCCCUAAUUAUUUCUGUUUGAUUUUCUAUCUGUGAUGUUAUUUUUGUUUCAUUUUUCGAACUGGCGCUAAAUCGAUGUUAGAUUACAUAGCUUCUGUAUAGGUUAUGUGACCUACUAGUUGACCGGUGUUAUAUUUUUGCGUUUUUUCUUUUAUUCCGUAAAUGGAAGCAGUCGAUUUUCAUUCAAAUCCAGCCGGUGGAUUUUAGGCUUUUGCUUUUUCUUUUUUCAUUUGCAUAUAUUAGGAAUAAUUCUUUUAUGAUUUGCUUUGCUGAGACUGUUGGUAUGAGUUUUGAUUUUCCUUUUAAAUGAUCCUAGCUGACUCCAAAAUAUAUAUGUUUUAUACAUCAACCUUUGUAAUUCUUGUUGAAUACUUUUUUUUUUGUAAUUCUUGUUGAAUACUUGAAUCUGCUUCUUAACAAAGUCUUGCGUAUGAGGGGCCUCUUCAGUACUGUGUUCUGAAUGGUGUUUCUGGAAACCGAAUGUCAAAUUAAGCUGUUUCCGACCUUGUAUUUUUAUAGGAUGCGAUUCCUAUGAAUAUUUAAAAAUAAUAUAUUAGUUAACAUGAAUUUGAUAAUAAUGUUUUAUUUUAUUAUUAUUUUUAAGUAAAUUGUUAUCAUAUAACUAAAUAUUUCGCAUGAGUUUUUGUUUUUAAUUAAAUAAUUGAAUAAAUUUAUUUUAAUUCAAUUAAUAUUUUUAUUCUCCUUUCAAUUCUAUCAAACGUCUCUUUCUUUCCCUACUAUCAUUUACAAUUAUCCAAAUAAUUUUUAAGAUUUAUGCAAUGUUAGGUAAUUAUAUGUCAGACUUUGAAAAAUGCUUACCAUGCUAAAUGCUGGUGCUAUCUUGAGUUUAAAGCCACCACUUUUUCUUUGUAACAGUUGCCAUCUUCAUACUCAGAUUGAUUUUGUUUCAGAUUUAAUUUGUUCUUGCUUGAAGAGUCGUUUGUUGUUAGUUUGUAGUUUCUUGGGUUGGUAGUUCUUUGAUGUGAAAAGAAGAGUGAGGAAGUUUAUUGUUUCCGAUAAGAUUUAGUGUAAAAAGUGCUGGAAACAUGAAAUUGAUGUUUUAUGCAUUUUCAGUUGUCUUCCAAGAAGUUGAAAAAGGACUGUGCGGUGGUUAAUGAUUGUUUUGCAAAACUCAUUACCAUUUGUGUUUUCAAGCUAUUCUUAGCAGUUCAAAUGAAAGGCCAUUGAAGAUAGAGUUGCUCAUUCUAAUAAAAUAUCUCAAGUUAUUUGUGGUAUAUGCUUGCCUUGAGAUUUUGGCUCAUUCUAAUAAAAUCUCUCUAUUUGUGGCAUACUGUAAGUUUUUUAAUUUUUAUUUUGGGCUCUGGUUGUGUAUACUUAAAUUGAUUCUGAUUUUAUUGACGAAUUUUAGCAGCUAUGUGGCCAACUAAACCUCCAUGUGCACUGCUGCUUGGUUUGCUUGUUUGUUUUGCGUGAUAAUCAUACAAGAAAUUUUGUUUUUUCCUUCUUGCCAGUAUUGUUCUGUCAGUCUUUCAUGGCUUAUAUAUUGGAUUUGCAGGUUGCAUUACCACCAAGGAGCUUGGCACUGUUAUGAGGUCACUGGGUCAGAACCCCACUGAGGCUGAGCUCCAGGACAUGAUCAAUGAAGUGGAUGCUGAUGGUAAUGGAACUAUUGAUUUUCCUGAAUUCCUAAACCUCAUGGCCAGGAAGAUGAAGGAUACCGACUCUGAGGAGGAGCUGAAAGAGGCCUUCCGGGUUUUCGACAAGGAUCAGAAUGGUUUCAUCUCAGCUGCUGAGCUGCGCCAUGUGAUGACAAACCUAGGAGAGAAACUUACUGAUGAAGAAGUUGAUGAGAUGAUAAGGGAAGCUGAUGUUGAUGGUGAUGGCCAGAUAAAUUAUGAGGAAUUUGUCAAGGUUAUGAUGGCCAAGUAAUGACCCCAACCCACCAAUACUUAUAAAAUGGGUUGACUAAAUUAUAAAGGGAUUCCUAGUUUUCUCUUUUACAAUUUUUAAUUUGAUAGUCAUGAGGGUCAGGCUAAAGGAAGCAAUGGUCUUUUAAUGGUGAUGGGCCUGAUGGUGUAGGAAGAAUGUUGUCUCCCUCGUCAAUAUGUCUUGUGACUCGCAAAACUUUUCGGUUUUUAUUAUUUUAGUUGUUCUGCUGUUCUAUGAAUGUUGUUGUCUGUUUAAUGUGUUUCAUUAAUUUCUGCCCUUGCGAUGUUUAUUUUUCUUUUGGUCGAAAUAUGUAUCCUAUUUUAUGUAUCAGGCUAUCAGCUUAGGUUUCUUGGCCUAUAAUUUUAUUUCUUUGGUUAUGAUGAAUGAAUUUGCUCUGGGCUUUUGCUGCAGUGGUCGGUUUUGGUUUUGUGAUAGAAAUUACCCCGGGGACUGAACGGUCUAUAUGGCAUUAUUAACAAACUCGAAUUUUCUUUUCAAUGGAAUGAAUCUGGAUUACCAAACACGGCAAUGCCCGUGUUUCUCGUUGAGAAAGAAGAAAAUACAGAAGUAAAUUGAACGUCUGUAAAUCCUCUGCUAGAUCCGUUUUGACUUUUAUGCAAGGGGCUUUGUGUUAGUGCUGUCUGGUUCGUUUCAACAAUCCAAAACAAUUUCAAGAUCUAAUCUAUUUUCAAAACUAAUUUUAAUGAAUGAACGAACAUUUCCAAAAUUUCAUCUCACAGGGAACGUGCAUUUCUAAAAAUUCCAUUUCUUUGGGGACGUUAAACACGAUGCUUCAAUAUUUGAGUUCUCAUGAUGUGGCAUCUAUUUAUUGUAAGAAAGAAUGGAGUAAUAAUAAUAUUUUAUGAGUACACAUUAAUUAUAUAUGUUAUUAUAUAAAUUAUAAUAUUUCUUCUUACUUAAAUCCCGUUGGAUUUAAGCGUCUUCUUUGAUAUAUAUAAAUCUAUAUUAGUCAUCAACCGCGGAACUAUGUUUGGGCCUCAAGGGCCUAGCUCCAGUUCGGAAAUAAUUGGAGAAAAAUAAGGUUGAACUUUUAUAAUCUAGUCUAUUCUAACGUAUAAUUUACACUUUGGUUUUCUUAUUUUUAUAUAUAUUAUGACCCCAUAAAAUCAAAAUUAUAGUUGUACCACUGGUAACAUUUGUGAUGUUCUAUCUUAUGAAGUAGUGAGAUUUUUUAAAAUUAUUUUAUUAAAAUAGUACAACACUUCAAAAUAUAUUGUUUUUAUACCUCAAGUUUCUAAAGAUACAAAUUUUAUACUGUCUUUUUGAAUCUUCAUGAAAUACAUUCUUCAGCAAGGGCGAGAUAAGGUAAAUAAUGUUAGGCUUGGGUAUUAUUUCGAAGUUCUUGACGAGAAGAAUAAAAGUCAUAGUAAAUGUUUUACAAAUUUUUGUUGUUCAAAAUUUGGCACUAAAUUGCAGAAUUUUCCAAAAUAUCUGCCAUGAGUUUUUUUAUUUCGAAGGUCGAAAGCUUUAAAAUGAUAUUAUAUACAAAACUUGAUAUUAUUUACACUAUUUAGUAGUUGUAAAAAAAAAAAAAAAAUUGUCUUGCAUCUAGCAUAAAUUAUAUUACAAGGGCAAAAUAAUAUUUUAGUAUACAUUCAUUAACAUAUUCUACAACAAGAUGUAAAAUGGUAUUUUAAAAAUCAUUGAAUAUAAGAAUGGUAGAUUUUAAAAUGUUUUAAUAAUUCUGGCUUUUUUUUUUCGUUUACACGAAGGAAAAUAGUUCUCUAUUUUAUUUUACCAACAAGGAAAUCAGGUGAAAAAAUUUAGAAUACAUAAAUAAAUAAAUAAAUAAUAUUAUAUUAUAUCAUGUAUUAUUACAGGUCACGCAUGUAAUAAUUAUUUGUAUCACCUCAAAUGUCGCAAGGAACUUUAGGAAUGGAAAGCAGGAAGUGAUAAAUGACCGGCAAAUUAAAAAUGAAGGGUAAAAAGGGAAAAUCAAAGAUUAUGGAGAUUUGAUGAUUCAUUUACGUCCGGAAGCAAGGAAUUUGACGCGAGAAGAUUGGGCCAUAUAAAAGGCAACCAUCGUGUUGUCUGGAGUAACAAGGCCAUUUCUCUCUCUCGUUAUUUGAUUUUGCGGAAAAAAAAAAAACCUAGUUUUCAGUUGAAAAAAAAAAGAAGAAAAUGGCGGAUCAGCUCACCGACGAUCAGAUCUCCGAGUUCAAAGAAGCCUUCAGCUUGUUCGACAAGGACGGCGACGGUCUGAUUUUCUCUCUUCAUAAUCUCUUUGCUUUUAGCGUUGGAUUUUCUUAUAGAUCUAUUUUUUUUCCCUCUAUUCACGAAGCUGUUGAUUUUUGGAACGUUUUUGACUAAUUAAAGCUCUGAUCUCUCAUAUUUUCUAUUGAUUUUCGAUGUGUGAUGUGAUUUUGUUGAUUCUGUAAUUGAUGUUCGAUUAAUUGGAUGAUAUAAUUGACUGAACAUUAGGCUGAUGCGUUUCGUAUUUAAAAAGCUGCACAUUGUUUUUGUGGGGUUUGUUUGUUAUGCUUUAAUAUUGUUUUGUAAAUGAAAGCAGUCGAUUCCGAAUCAGACCCGUGGAUGUUCAAGCUCUGUCGUAGUGUUCUUUCAUUAUUAAAUGAAAAAUCCUUCUGAUUCACUUUGCCUAGAACAAGUUCUUAUUCUGAUCGAAUGAUGCUUGCCAACCGCACAACAUAAUGGGCUUUACAUCAAAUUCUGUAAUACUUAUUGAAUCUGCUUCUUACUAAAUUUCUGGAUAGGUCGGCACAUUCUAAUUCAAUUAUGUCUUGGGAUUUGCGUCCUUUAUGCUCGUUUUGAGAAUUUGCUACUUGUAUUGUUUUAUCUAUUGUGCUUGUUACAUUUUGUAGUCUGCUGUUAUGUCUUAGUGUUGUUUUUAGACUGAUUGGGUAUACUUGUUGUUUGCCAAAAUCUAGUCAGAACAGUUGUCUCAUGUUGACACUGUAUUGUAUUUUGAUAAAUCAGCAAUGUUUAGCAAGUUAUGGUGCCUAGUUGUCAGCAGCUUUACCACUGAGUGCUGUGCUGUUUACCAUUUUUGUUUUACGUGAGUAUCUAAAAAUUCUGUCGGCUUUGUCAUGGUUCGUAUAAUAUUGAAUUUGCAGGUUGCAUUACCACCAAGGAGCUUGGCACUGUUAUGAGGUCACUGGGUCAGAACCCCACUGAGGCUGAGCUCCAGGACAUGAUCAAUGAAGUGGAUGCUGAUGGUAAUGGAACUAUUGAUUUUCCUGAAUUCCUAAACCUCAUGGCCAGGAAGAUGAAGGAUACCGACUCUGAGGAGGAGCUGAAAGAGGCCUUCCGGGUUUUCGACAAGGAUCAGAAUGGUUUCAUCUCAGCUGCUGAGCUGCGCCAUGUGAUGACAAACCUAGGGGAGAAGCUUACUGAUGAGGAAGUCGAUGAGAUGAUAAGGGAAGCUGAUGUCGAUGGUGAUGGCCAGAUAAAUUACGAGGAAUUUGUCAAGGUUAUGAUGGCUAAGUAAGUGACUCCACCCAACCAAAACUUCCUGGGAAAAGAAGAAAUUGGUUGAUUAAUAUAAUUGGUUCCCUAGUUUCCUUUUUUAUAAAUUUUAAUUUGAUAACUCUGAGGUCAAGCUAAAGGAAGCAUGUUGUCUCCUGCUUCAAUUUGUCUUGUGACUGGAGCAACUUUUCAGUUUUUUAAUGUUUUAGUUUUUUUCCGCUCUUCUGUGAACAUUGUUUCUGUUAAAUGAGUGACUCGUUGAUCUGCCCUAUUUCUUAUUUCGAGAUUUUGUGGAUAAGAAAUUGAUAUGUGAUGACUUAAUGUUGUUUCCUCUACCUCUUGGGUUUGUUGUGGUCAAAUUAUAUAUCGGUUUUCCAAUUGAUCAGCGUAUGUGCACUUGAUCUAGUGCGUGCCGUCUUGCAUGUUAUGAUGUGCUAUGGCAGCCUGAGGAGCCCAGCGCCUCCCUAUGUGAGUACGGCUGUACGGCUAUUAAGAUUUAUGUAUUUAACAAGCGAAGCUGAUGACAUUGGGAAAGAGAUUUCAGACAUUUUAAUGCUAAUUAAACAUGCCAACGGUGUGUUUGGCUGGACGAAAUGGAGUCUACUCUGUAUCACAAGCCUUCAAAUUUCAAUAUUACCCUAGGACAUCAUUGUUAUUUGUUAAGAAAAUAAUAAUAUAAUAAAUUAAUUAAUUAAUUAAUACUUCAUUUUAGAAAAUGGUUUGGUUGUCAAAAAAAAAAUUAAUAGGUAAGUUUUUUAAAGUAAUAUUAUAAAAUGAAUGAAAUAAGAUUGUUAAAUAAAUAAAUAAUAUUUUAUAUAUUUUUACAUUUAAAAAAAAAUCAACUUUUAUUUCUAAAAGUUUAAAAUUUAAGUUUUUGUUAAAUCAUUUAAUCUUUAAAAUUCUACUAAAAAACAAUUAAACAUCAUAAAAAAAAAUGUAAAGAACUUAUAGUAUUAAAUAAAUAUUUAUGAUCUUUUAAGUAAAUUAUAUCAAACACACUUUUAAUAUUUUAAAAUUUUCUUUCAUUUAAAUUAUAAGAUAACACGGUGUAUGCAUAAACUGAAAUACAAACAAUUUAAAGAAGCAUGGUCUUUAAAAACUACGAUUGCUGCAGUUUUUUGUCUCUAAUUUUUUGUUCGGUUCUUUACAAUUGGAAUCAAAUCAGACUAAAUUUUAAAACCAAAUCAAAUUUGACAUAUUUUAAGUUAUGUUUGAGAUUAAAGUGCAAUCAUAUAAACAUAACUUUUAAGAUAUAACAACUAAUAUUUAUUAAACGAUUUAGUACUAUAUAACUUUUAAGCUGUAAAAUACAAUUGUACUUUCUCAAUCUCAAUCGCACACUUACUUUUGGGUCAGACUUGCAUUUAUUUCCAUUUCUUGAUUAUCCUGUUCUUAUUUAUUUAUUUGAAAUCCCACAUCAAAGAUUGGAUCACUAAGUACCAAGGUGCGCCACCCCAAGCCCCCUUCCUUUUUUGUAGUAUUCAUAAAACAAAGGCUAAAAAGGAUGUUAAUGAAAUCAAAGAGAACAGCCCAACUGAACUUUUCCCAACAUAAUCGCAUUACACCAGGCACGACCAAUCCUUUUCAGACCGUCACUUUCAACAAUUUAAACCAAAAAAAACAAACAAAGGCUAAAAAGGAUGUUAAUGAAAUCAAAGAGAACAGCCCAACUGAACUUUUCCCAACAUAAUCGCAUUACACCAGGCACGACCAAUCCUUUUCAGACCGUCACUUUCAACAAUUUAAACCAAAAAAAACAAAAAAAAUCCCCCAUAACUAUAAUCUCUUCAAACUCUUCUUCCUAGCAUCUAUUUUCUUCCUGUCAGCCUGGACUUUUGCCAGCCCAACUUCUUUCUUUUGUGUAGUGGCGGAAGCGGGUGUUGUAGCAGACCCGCCGAUUCCUAUCUCCACUGUUGGAACAGCAGCGGAUGGCUGAUCCUGAUUAUUUCCUCCUCUAGUGGCUGUUGCGGAAGGAGCUAGUGGUUGCGCCAAUGGCAAUGGUAUUGCGCCACCAGAUGGUGUGUUGUUCUUCUGGUCCAUGUUGGUGAUAGUCUGGUCAACAUUCAGUGCCGUUGUUGAUUCAGAAAUAGCUCCUGACUUGAAUUUUGGUUUUGGCUUUGCAUGAAUCCCAGUGUAAAUCCUGCAGAAAACUUACAAUCUUCAGUGAACCGCGUAAAACGAGACUUACUUGAUAAGAGGCAUGUAAAAUGCUUUUUAAUUUUAUCAUCCCAUUUCCUUUGCAUAAGGUAGCACAGCAACAGUUAGCUUAUUAAGAGGGGACAUUUACAACAGAGGGCACAUGAAUUAAACCAACAAUCCAGAGCACUAAAGGAGUUUGUUCCCUAUCAGCUCUUAAAAGAACUUGACAUCUCAGAAGUUUGUUCCCUAUCAGCUCUUAAAGAACUUGACAUCUCAGAAGUACUCUCAAAAGGUACUGCAGGACCCACAACACGUGCAGCAUGUAGGCAAAUGACAGUGUAGGACAUGGAUGUGUGCUAACACCUAGAUAUUCACAUGUAACGUUCCAGAGUUGCCAAGAACCACCACAUAAAAAAGCAGAUUACAUAAUGACUAGACAUACCUGGCAUGUCUGGCAUACUCCUCAUAAUUUUCAAGCAGCAUCUUACCAGCCUGUUCAUUCAAUGCUGAUUCCGGAAAUGGUUCAAUCAAUAAACACCGGACUACCUGUUAUCACAAAUCUCAGAACAAUGAAAAAAAAAAUUCUCAAAGUAAAGUUCUCAUCAAACAAACAGGGAAGAACAGAUAGCUAAAGGAAACAUUAACAAAAAUUGCCAUCAGAACUUACGAUGAGAACAUGUCUCAAUCCAAGACUUGGAUUCCAAUCUUUUUUUAGUGUAUUCACACAAAUUUCACCAUUUGUUGCAAUAUUUGGAUGGAAUAUCUUCGUCAGGAAGUAACCUACAACAUCCACAUUGUGAAUAAUCCCAAGUUGCGUAAGCAAUUAACAGAUUUUAGGAGAAAAUAAUAAUAUCCAUACAAUAUAACCAACCAACCUUUUGGAGGGGAGUGCGGGAAGUCAUGAGAUAAUAACAACUUCAUGCGGAAAACACCAUUCUCAUAAGGAGUUCCAGCUGCAUGGAGAGGAAAUCUUAUUCCACUAUUGCAAUAUGUCUCAAAAGACAUAAAAUUUUGACGGACAGAAAAUUGCAUACCUGGGCCUUCAAUAUCAGCAAAUAUGGUUGAAAAAUCAUCAUCAUUUACGCCUACUUUAAUGCCCUCAGGAGGAGAUUCAUCAAGACUCUUCAAUUCCUUAGCAAGUUGCUUUAUUACAUUUGGUGGAAGAUUUUCAUUAGUAGCCUAAACCAACACAACAACAAAAACCAAAAUAAGUCAAACUAUUCACAAGUGAUAAAAAGAAAUUACAAUACGAGCUUAAUGCACAAACUUGAUGCAUCUCCAUCUUCUAAAAACAAAAAAGACAACGUGCUUAAUGGUGAAAUAAAGCUACAAAUUACCGUUUAUGAACUAACCAUGCAUAUAAAAUGAACAAAUCAUGAAAUUUUUAACUUUAUUUUCCAUCAGCAACUGCUGAAAGUUUGCAUCGCACACCAUAAUUCUCAUUCUGUUUAUCUGUAUGUUUCUUGGCAUAUGAAUUAAAGUAUGCAUCCCUGAACUGGUUUUAAUAUAAUGUAAAUUUCCACAUUGAUGGUGUCAUAAAAAGUCUGUAGCUUUACCAUGUCAACAAAAGAUGACAGGAUCCUUGUAAUAGCUCUUCUUUUGCGCUGUCACUGGCAGGAAAUUAGAACCUUGGCAAAGAAUGUUCCGUUGCUUUUUGAACUUAAAGGCUUAGUGAUAAAAAAUUUGUAAGCAGAAUGCCGAAAGCACCUAAAAGAUAAUAAAUUGAACUUUCAGAUUAGAACUAACAAGGAGGUAACAAUAUCAUUUGAUCAUUUGUCUUGACUGAACUAGACUAAAUAUUAACAACCACCAUCAUUUUUUCUCAGGAAUCAAAGAAAAUUAGCUAACAUUGGAAGGGUACUUGCAACUCAUAAAACAGAGAGAUGCACCACAAUAGAGUAGCCAAAACAAAAGCAAACAAACUCGCUAAAAAGUUGACAAACUUGAUUAAAUGCAAACUGAAAAUAACAUUGAGAGCAUAUCAUACGGUCUGAUUGUUAAAAAGACUGCUAAAUACUUGUUUUCUGUAGAAACCAAACAGAAUGUAAGCUAUCAUCAAUCACAGGUGGACACCCUUAUAAUUAUCAUACAAAACUAAUAAUUUAUCAAAAUAUCAGAACCAGCAUUUUCACCUACCUACAACUGAGUUGAGUUGGUAAAAUUCCUCAAAAAGUUACUAUCCCGUGAAACCUCCUAUCUUCAGUAUAAUGAAUCUAUCAAAGUUUGAGAUGCAGGAGUCCCAUUAUUCCAAAAGGGCAACAAUAUUCAUUAUCCUUAAUUUUGGGACAAAUAAUUCAUCCAAGUACAUCACUUCAUUAAUACAUAAAGCAGAAACUAAAAACUUACAGUCAAAGGAAAAAGAAACAAAUAAUUCAUCAAAUCAAAUGAACCCAUUUGUCAAAACCCUAAUUUAUACCCAACUAAUUGUCCAGGAACGAAGAAAGGAACCUUAUUUUCAAAAAUACCCACAUCAGAAUCAACAAGCUGAAGCAAGAAAAGCAUAUACAAUUUCUAUAGUUGCAAGAAAGCAAUCUAUCAUACACAAUGAUAUGUUAAGAUGAAAAAAGUGAAGAAUCAGCACACAAACAAACAUAAAAAUCCAAGCUUUACAUCAAAUCAAUUGAUUUCGACUCAGAUUGAUCAAUAAUCGAACAAAAAAUUCAAAAACCCAGAUGAAAAAUUACCUUGUCUGAUUCAAUUAAUCUCUUGAGAAAGAGAAAGAGAAAGAGAGUGGGAGAGCGAGUGUGAGAGAGAGGAGAGAGAUGUAAAAAUAAACGUUGAAAAUACAGACUGCGAAAGCGAUCUCUUCUUGGAAUGAUUGAUUGGUUGAUUAUGAGGAGAAAAAUUAUUUUAUUUUAUUUUUAUUUAUUUAUGACUAAGCAACGCACACAGUAUAUUUAAAAAUUGAAAUAUUAUUUGAUUCCACAUGACGUGUCGCUGUGUGAGAUUGCUCAGGAUUUCUAGUCGUUGGAUUCUUUAUAUUUACUUCAGGACACAGUUUCCACGCUCUUUCGAUGAGCGUUUCUCUACACGGGUAAUUUUUAAAAACCACCCCUGAGGUUUA